GGCUGGUCUGAGUGCAGUGGUGUUUACAACUAAUCCAUCACAACCAGUUACAGAUUUCUUUGUUCCUUCUCCACUCACUUCACUUGACUAGUCUUAA
ensembl:misc_RNA Y_RNA Y RNA